AGGCUGGGCUACACACGUGCUACAAUGGCAUCUACAGUGGGCAGCUAUUCCGCAAGGAUGCGCUAAUCUCCAAAAGAUGUCUCAGUUCGGAUUGUCCUCUGCAACUCGAGGGCAUGAAGGCGGAAUCGCUAGUAAUCGCGGGUCAGCAGACCGCGGUGAAUACGUUCCCGGGUUUU
rnacentral:rRNA from 1 species